CACCUUCCUCCGUCGGUUUCCUCCUGGAACCGCCCUCUCGGCAUUUCGACCGCCACACGACCGUUGACAGCGGGGCCCGUGCGGUCG
rnacentral:tRNA from 1 species